rnacentral:lncRNA from 1 species
AGUCCUUCGCCGUCCCUCGCCGUCCUUCGCCAUCGCACGCCACCGCACCCCAUCUCUCGAAAUCUGCAGACAUCUUGAUUUUUCCCACGCUGUCUGUCAGGUCUCCGCCGCCACUCGACGCCAGGGCGCCGGGUGAGUCCACAGCAGGGCGCAUGGUCGGCUCCACUCUCACCAUCGGGGGAAACUGAGGCCCCGGGGAAGGCGGCCAGAGAGGUCAGGCCCUGUCCUUGGUGCAGUGUCUCGUCCUCUUUGCCGGAGUGAGCCCCCCAGGAUUCGCGUGUCCUCGGGAAAGACACUGGCAGGCCUUGUGGGCUGUGCUGCACCUCGGACGGCUUCGCACCAGCCAGCGCCCUCUCUCUCCUGCAGCACUCUGAUCUGCACCCCCUGAGGGGCUUCCACUGUCCGCGGGGUGAGAAUGCCCCUGGGAGUGUCACAUGACUGCCGCCCCAUGUGUGUGAGAGGCGUCCUCUGGGAGAGCAUGGAUCCUGAGGUCCCAGGAUUGUCAGCUGACCUCUGUCCUGUGUGCCCAGUGGCCCCAGGUGACGUGUCUUCAAGAAGAGGCUGAGCUGCGGUGCUUGUAAGGGUCUCAUUCUGUCACCCAGGCUGGAGUGCAGUGGUGCAAUGAUGGCUCACUGCAGCCUCGACCUGGGCUCAAGUGAUCCUCCACCUCAGCUUCCUGAGUAGCUGGGACCACAGAGUCAUGUGCUGUUCCUGGGGCUUGGAUGAUGUAGGGGAAGCAAGGUGAAAGUGGUAUCCCGUGGUUCCACGUUCUGUCCUGCUGUGGGGCUGUCCCUCACAUGCUUUCAGUGGCUGUUGCAGAGGAAGAGCCUCCGGAAAUCUGCGUGGGUAAAGUCUCAGCCUUAGAUCCAAGGACAGUCCAAGGAAGUCCUAAGACCAUGGAGUUGGUGAUCUGGGAUCUGGGUUUGCUGAUAUUUCUCACCGUGAAUCUCUUGGUGGUGUUUGUGGGCACGAGAGGGGCAGAGAAUGGAGAGUGAGGCUACCACAUGAAGCGUCACCAGAGCUGCUCCCUGCUGCCUGCUCAGAGCACCCCGGAUCCACUGUUCAAUCUGCACAAGAUUCGGGGUCCAGACAUGGGAGACUUCAGCUGCCUCAGAGGACCGUGGACAGGGAAGGCCAGCCUCGCAUCCCUCUGUCCAUGCCUGGAAUGACUUUAAUAACCAAGAGUUUUAUUUUUGAAUUUGUAGCUGUCGUUCACUUUUUACCCACCCAUUCAAUAAACCUUACAGAAUUGCUCCA